GAUGAUACUGACCUUUAGCCCCUGCAGCUGUUACACAUCAUGGUCACAACAUGCUAGCGCGCACACUGAUGUGCUGUGGGUCGGUCGGCUGUGCGUUACAGCAACAGUCCGGAAAAUGAGGCAAAAGCCAUCCGGGGCUCACUUUCUAAGCAGAGUAGAAGAGCGGGAGAAUUGUGCAAAGGAGCAAGAUUUACUGUAAAAAUAUUUGGGACCACCUGCAGCUGAAUCAUCAGACCAGGGACAGUCAUGCUCUUCAGCUGCUCUGGUUUACUCAGAGCCACCAGAGGUGACACCACAAGAGCAUGCUGCUCUUCCUGCCAACCUCACCCUGCCUCCAGCCACAGAGCCUGGAUGUUCAGAUAUGAGAAAGUCACCCUUCAUGAGGCCUGGUGGAGCUCUGCAUUGGACUGUCCCUCCUCAAGGGGAAGAAGUAGUGAUGGCUUUGCCUGGGAGAGGAGCCCAUGUGUGGUGAAGAGGACUGGGGGAGACGGC